rnacentral:rRNA from 1 species
CCCUUAGAUGUCCGGGGCCGCACGCGCGCUACACUGAAGGAAUCAGCGUGGCUUUCUCCCUGACCCGAAAGGGUUGGGAAACCCGUUGAAUCUCCUUCGUGAUAGGGAUUGGGGCUUGAAAUUGUUCCCCAUGAACGAGGAAUUCCCAGUAAGCGCGAGUCAUAAGCUCGCGUUGAUUACGUCCCUGCCCUUUGUACACACCGCCCGUCGCACCUACCGAUUGAAUGGUCCGGUGAAAUCUUCGGAUUGAGACUUUGAUUUCUUCACGGAAAACGCUGUUUUAAAAAGUUGAUUAAACCUUACCAUUUAGAGGAAGGUGAAGUCGUAACA